GCUGAAGGUCAACCCCCCACAGACACCUCUACCCUCCCUGACAGAUGCCUCAUCACCUCCCUCCCCACGGGAUGAGAUCUUCCUGACCCCCAACCUCUCCCUGCCCCUGUGGGAGUGGAGGCCAGACUGGUUGGAAGACAUGGAGGUCAGCCACACCCAGCGGCUGGGAAGGGGGAUGCCUCCCUGGCCCCCUGACUCUCGGAUCUCUUCCCAGAGAAGUCAGCUCCACUGUCGUAUGCCCAAGGCUGGUGCUUCUCCUGUAGAUUACUCCUGAACCGUGUCCCUGAGACUUCCCAGACGGGAAUCAGAACCACUUCUCCUGUCCACCCACAAGACCUGGGCUGUGGUGUGUGGGUCUUGGCCUGUGUUUCUCUGCAGCUGGGGUCCACCUUCCCAAGCCUCCAGAGAGUUCUCCCUCCACGAUUGUGAAAACAAAUGAAAACAAAAUUAGAGCAAAGCUGACCUGGAGCCCUCAGGGAGCAAAACAUCAUCUCCACCUGACUCCUAGCCACUGCUUUCUCCUCUGUGCCAUCCACUCCCACCACCAGGUCGUUUUGGCCUGAGGAGCAGCCCUGCCUGCUGCUCUCCCCCCACCAUUUGGAUCACAGGAAGUGGAGGAGCCAGAGGUGCCUUUGUGGAGGACAGCAGUGGCUGCUGGGAGAGGGCUGUGGAGGAAGGAGCUUCUCGGAGCCCCCUCUCAGCCUUACCUGGGCCCCUCCUCUAGAGAAGAGCUCAACUCUCUCCCAACCUCACCAUGGAAAGAAAAUAAUUAUGAAUGCCACUGAGGCACUGAGGCCCUACCUCAUGCCAAACAAAGGGUUCAAGGCUGGGUCUAGCGAGGAUGCUGAAGGAAGGGAGGUAUGAGACCGUAGGUCAAAAGCACCAUCCUCGUACUGUUGUCACUAUGAGCU
rnacentral:lncRNA from 1 species